GGGUUGUGAGGUUAAGCGAACAAGCGUACACGGUGGAUGCCCUGGCAGUCAGAGGCGAUGAAGGACGUGCUAAUCUGCGAAAAGCGCCGGUAAGGUGAUAUGAACCGUUAUAACCGGCGAUGUCCGAAUGGGGAAACCCGGUGCACUUCGGUGCAUCAUCGUUAGCUGAAUACAUAGGCUAACGAAGCGAACCGGGGGAACUGAAACAUCUAAGUACCCCGAGGAAAAGAAAUCAACCGAGAUUCCCCCAGUAGCGGCGAGCGAACGGGGAACAGCCCAGAGCCUGAAUCAGCUUGUGUGUCAGUGGAACGGUCUGGAAAGGCCGGCGAUACAGGGUGACAGCCCCGUACACGAAGGCACACAGGCUGUGAGCUCGAUGAGUAGGGCGGGACACGUGAUAUCCUGUCUGAAGAUGGGGGGACCAUCCUCCAAGGCUAAAUACUCCUGACUGACCGAUAGUGAACCAGUACCGUGAGGGAAAGGCGAAAAGAACCCCGGCGAGGGGAGUGAAACAGAACCUGAAACCGUGUACGUACAAGCAGUGGGAGCCUUCGUAAGAGGGUGACUGCGUACCUUUUGUAUAAUGGGUCAGCGACUUAUAUUCUGUAGCAAGGUUAACCGUAUAGGGGAGCCGAAGGGAAACCGAGUCUUAAUUGGGCGUUAAGUUGCAGGGUAUAGACCCGAAACCCGGUGAUCUAGCCAUGGGCAGGUUGAAGGUUGGGUAACACUAACUGGAGGACCGAACCGACUAAUGUUGAAAAAUUAGCGGAUGACCUGUGGCUGGGGGUGAAAGGCCAAUCAAACCGGGAGAUAGCUGGUUCUCCCCGAAAGCUAUUUAGGUAGCGCCUCGUGAACUCAUCUCCGGGGGUAGAGCACUGUUUCGGCUAGGGGGCCAUCCCGGCUUACCAACCCGAUGCAAACUGCGAAUACCGGAGAAUGUUAUCACGGGAGACACACGGCGGGUGCUAACGUCCGUCGUGAAGAGGGAAACAACCCAGACCGCCAGCUAAGGUCCCAAAGUCAUGGUUAAGUGGGAAACGAUGUGGGAAGGCCCAGACAGCCAGGAUGUUGGCUUAGAAGCAGCCAUCAUUUAAAGAAAGCGUAAUAGCUCACUGGUCGAGUCGGCCUGCGCGGAAGAUGUAACGGGGCUAAACCAUGCACCGAAGCUGCGGCAGCGACACUGUGUGUUGUUGGGUAGGGGAGCGUUCUGUAAGCCUGCGAAGGUGUGCUGUGAGGCAUGCUGGAGGUAUCAGAAGUGCGAAUGCUGACAUAAGUAACGAUAAAGCGGGUGAAAAGCCCGCUCGCCGGAAGACCAAGGGUUCCUGUCCAACGUUAAUCGGGGCAGGGUGAGUCGACCCCUAAGGCGAGGCCGAAAGGCGUAGUCGAUGGGAAACAGGUUAAUAUUCCUGUACUUGGUGUUACUGCGAAGGGGGGACGGAGAAGGCUAUGUCGGCCGGGCGACGGUUGUCCCGGUUUAAGCGUGUAGGCUGACUUUCCAGGCAAAUCCGGAGAGUUAAGGCUGAGGCGUGAUGACGAGGCACCACGGUGCUGAAGUGACAAAUGCCCUGCUUCCAGGAAAAGCCUCUAAGCAUCAGGUAACAUCAAAUCGUACCCCAAACCGACACAGGUGGUCAGGUAGAGAAUACCAAGGCGCUUGAGAGAACUCGGGUGAAGGAACUAGGCAAAAUGGUGCCGUAACUUCGGGAGAAGGCACGCUGACAUGUAGGUGAAGCCCCUGCGGGUGGAGCUGAAGUCAGUCGAAGAUACCAGCUGGCUGCAACUGUUUAUUAAAAACACAGCACUGUGCAAACACGAAAGUGGACGUAUACGGUGUGACGCCUGCCCGGUGCCGGAAGGUUAAUUGAUGGGGUUAUCGCAAGAGAAGCUCCUGAUCGAAGCCCCGGUAAACGGCGGCCGUAACUAUAACGGUCCUAAGGUAGCGAAAUUCCUUGUCGGGUAAGUUCCGACCUGCACGAAUGGCGUAAUGAUGGCCAGGCUGUCUCCACCCGAGACUCAGUGAAAUUGAACUCGCUGUGAAGAUGCAGUGUACCCGCGGCAAGACGGAAAGACCCCGUGAACCUUUACUACAGCUUGACACUGAACAUUGAGCCUUGAUGUGUAGGAUAGGUGGGAGGCUUUGAAGCGUGGACGCCAGUCUGCGUGGAGCCGACCUUGAAAUACCACCCUUUAAUGUUUGAUGUUCUAACCUGGCGCCGUGAUCCGGCGUGGGGACAGUGUCUGGUGGGUAGUUUGACUGGGGCGGUCUCCUCCCAAAGUGUAACGGAGGAGCACGAAGGUCAGCUAAUCCUGGUCGGACAUCAGGAGGUUAGUGCAAUGGCAUAAGCUGGCUUGACUGCGAGAGUGACGGCUCGAGCAGGUGCGAAAGCAGGUCAUAGUGAUCCGGUGGUUCUGUAUGGAAGGGCCAUCGCUCAACGGAUAAAAGGUACUCCGGGGAUAACAGGCUGAUACCGCCCAAGAGUUCAUAUCGACGGCGGUGUUUGGCACCUCGAUGUCGGCUCAUCACAUCCUGGGGCUGAAGUAGGUCCCAAGGGUAUGGCUGUUCGCCAUUUAAAGUGGUACGCGAGCUGGGUUUAGAACGUCGUGAGACAGUUCGGUCCCUAUCUGCCGUGGGCGCUGGAGAAUUGAGGGGGGCUGCUCCCAGUACGAGAGGACCGGAGUGGACGCAUCACUGGUGUUCGGGUUGUCAUGCCAAUGGCACUGCCCGGUAGCUAAAUGCGGAAGAGAUAAGUGCUGAAAGCAUCUAAGCACGAAACUUGCCCCGAGAUGAGUUCUCCCUGAGACUGUAAGUCUCCUGAAGGAACGUUGAAGACGACGACGUUGAUAGGCCGGGUGUGUAAGCGCAGCGAUGCGUUGAGCUAACCGGUACUAAUGAACCGUGAGGCUUAACCUUACAACGCCAAAGAAGU
rnacentral:rRNA from 1 species